rnacentral:rRNA from 1 species
GAAUGUACUGGGUAACGGUCCAUUUAUAGUCAUCCACAUGAGAACCUUUCUCGGCCUUCACUGGUCGGUUGGGGGAGUCAUGUACUUUACUUUGAAAAAAUCAGAGUGUUUCAGGCAGGCGUUUGCAUGAAUACACAAGCAUGGAAUAAUGGAAUAGGACUAGGGUCCAUUUUAUUGGUUAUUGGACCAUAGUAAUGAUUAAUAGGGACAGUUGGGGGCAUUAGUAUUUAAUUGUCAGAGGUGAAAUUCUUGGAUUUAUUAAAGACUAACUUAUGCGAAAGCAUUUGCCAAGGAUGUUUUCAUUAAUCAAGAACGAAAGUUAGGGGAUCGAAGAUGAUCAGAUACCGUCGUAGUCCUAACCAUAAACAAUACCAACCAAAGAUAAGAGGUUGUAAAAACAAGAAAAAGGGAAUUUCUUUUUUUCUUGAACCAACUCCUUUUGAAUUUUUAGAGGGAAACCAUUGAGUAUUUGGGUUCUGGGGGGGAGUACGGUAGCAAGGCU